GCACGCGCACUAUGCUGGCCCCGCUUCCUGGUCGCCACACCGCCCUCUGGUUCGCACACAGCACCGGAGAAACCGGAGAAACCGGAGAAACCGGGAACGGCACAUGGGGCACCUCCGUGCUAUUUUUGCAACUUACUCUCAACAGAAGCCAUGAACAGCAUAUUGGAUAUAACAGAUAGCUAAACUAAUGACUCUAGAAAUUCUCUGAGCACCCAGAAGAAAAGAUAAAGAGGCGAAAAUAAUAAAUAACAAGACAAGAAAAAGGCAAGAACGCAAAAUAUCUGUUGGGUAUUCCUGGAGAUUCCAGAAGGCAAGCGUGAGCAGAGAAGUAAUGAUGGAAGAAAUAAGAGAUGAAAAGUGAUCAAAUAUAGAAAUUAUAUAAGCCAUGUUGUGAUAAUAAUGCAAUAAAACUAAAAUUCAAUAGUACAAGGAAAAACAGGGAAAAAUAAAACCUAUUUCAAACUAAAAGA
rnacentral:lncRNA from 10 species